UACGAAGGGGGCUAGCGUUGCUCGGAAUUACUGGGCGUAAAGCGCACGUAGGCGGCUUUCUAAGUCGGGGGUGAAAUCCUGGAGCUCAACUCCAGAACUGCCUUCGAUACUGGCGAUCUAGAGUCCGGAAGAGGUGAGUGGAACUCCUAGUGUAGAGGUGGAAUUCGUAGAUAUUAGGAAGAACACCAGUGGCGAAGGCGGCUCACUGGUCCGGUACUGACGCUGAGGUGCGAAAGCGUGGGGAGCAAACAGG
rnacentral:rRNA from 1 species